GACGAACGCUGGCGGCGUGCUUAACACAUGCAAGUCGAACGGAAAGGCCCUGCUUUUGUGGGGUGCUCGAGUGGCGAACGGGUGAGUAACACGUGAGUAACCUGCCCUUGACUUUGGGAUAACUUCAGGAAACUGGGGCUAAUACCGGAUAGGAGCUCCUGCUGCAUGGUGGGGGUUGGAAAGUUUCGGCGGUUGGGGAUGGACUCGCGGCUUACCAGCUUGUUGGUGGGGUAGUGGCUUACCAAGGCUUUGACGGGUAGCCGGCCUGAGAGGGUGACCGGCCACAUGGGGACUACGAGACGGCCCAGACUCCUACGGGAGGCAGCAGUGGGGAAUAUGACAGAAUGGGGGGAAGCCUGAUGCAGCAACGCCGGGUGCGGGAUGACGGCCUUCGGGUUGUAAACCGCUUUCGCCUGUGACGAAGCGUGCGUGACGGUAAUGGGUAAAGAAGCACCGGCUAACUACGUG
rnacentral:rRNA from 1 species